rnacentral:rRNA from 1 species
GAUGAACGCUGGCGGCGUGCCUAAUACAUGCAAGUCGAGCGGACGGACGAUAAGCUUUCGUCUCUACUGUUGGCGGGUGACGGGUGAGUAACACGUGGAUAACCUUCCUAUAAUACUUGGAUGACUUCGUGAAACCGGUGCUGAUACCAGCGCAUAUUUUGUACGGCAGGGAUCAGAAGUGCUUGGCACUUUUGGUGUUACAAUGAGAUGGUUCCGCGUUGCAUUAGCUAGUUGGUAAGGUAACGGCUAACCAAGGCAACGAUGCAUAGCCGAUCUGAGAGGAUGAUCAGCCACACUGGAACUGAGACACGGUCCAGACUCCUACGGGAGGCAGCAGUAGGGAAUAUUCCGCAAUGGGCGAAAGCCUGACGGAGCAACGCCGCGUGAGUGAUGAAGGUCUUCGGAUCGUAAAGCUCUGUUAUUAGGAAAGAAAAUAUGUGUAAGUAAAUGUGCACAUCCUGACGGUACCUAAACAGAAAGCACCGGCUAACUACGUG